CCUACGGGAGGCAGCAGUGGGGAAUCUUGCACAAUGGGGGAAACCCUGAUGCAGCGACGCCGCGUGAGUGAAGAAGUAAUUCGUUAUGUAAAGCUCUAUCAGCAGGGAAGAAAAUGACGGUACCUGAGUAAGAAGCCCCGGCUAACUACGUGCCAGCAGCAGCGGUAAUACGUAGGGGGCAAGCGUUCUCCGGAUUUACUGGGUGUAAAGGGAGCGUAGACGGGUGUGCAAGUCUGGAGGGAAAGGCGGGGGCUCAACCCCCGGAGUGCUCUGGAAACUGUACGGCUGGAGUGCAGGAGAGGACAGUGGAAUUCCAAGUGUAGCGGUGGAAUGCGUAGAUAUAAGGAGGAACACCAGUGGCGAAGGCGGCUGUCUGGACUGUAACUGACGUUGAGGCUCGAAAGCAUGGGGAGCGAACAGGAUUAGAUACCCGGGUAGUC
rnacentral:rRNA from 1 species